rnacentral:rRNA from 1 species
AGGAAAGCAGGGGAUCGCAAGACCUUGCGCUCUUGGAGCGGCCGAUGUCUGAUUAGCUAGUUGGUGAGGUAAAGGCUUACCAAGGCGACGAUCAGUAGCUGGUCUGAGAGGACGACCAGCCACACUGGGACUGAGACACGGCCCAGACUCCUACGGGAGGCAGCAGUGGGGAAUUUUGGACAAUGGGGGAAACCCUGAUCCAGCCAUGCCGCGUGAGUGAAGAAGGCCUUCGGGUUGUAAAGCUCUUUCAGCCGGAACGAAACGGUCACGGCUAAUACCUGUGAUCACUGACGGUACCGGAAGAAGAAGCACCGGCUAACUACGUGCCAGCAGCCGCGGUAAUACGUAGGGUGCAAGCGUUAAUCGGAAUUACUGGGCGUAAAGCGUGCGCAGGCGGUUUUGUAAGUCAGAAUGUGAAAUCCCCGGGCUUAACCUGGGAACUGCGUUUGAAACUACAAGGCU